UUGUGUACAGUACAGUAAGCUGGUGAAUACGACACAAGUCGGUACAGGUUGUCGUUUCUCUUCCUUGGUACGGAGAUCCGACAACUGAGACUCCAACUAAUUUGGCUCUGAUGUGUGAAACAGCCAGCACCUUUUAAGAUUAAAUGUUUGUUUGAUGAGCCUCACUGCAGAAAACUAUUUACAAAGAAACUCCAAUUGAGACGUGGACAAAGAAACCUCUGAAUUACAAACUUCCUGUUGAGUGCGGCAUGAACUUUUAUUUCCUGUACAAUUCAAAGGCCUGAAGAUCUUGAACAGAGGAUUUAUAUUUUUUGGAUUGAGGCUGAAAAUAAGCAAAGAGGGAGAUAAAAGAAAUCAUAAACACAAAAGCAUAUUUACAAAAUCUCAAGUUCAGAAAAGACAAUAAUGAAUAGAGAUGAUGUGUUUGCUAAACUUUCUGAAAAGAACAGACUAUUCAUCACACAACAAGAGACAAAUGAGCCAAUAAUGGAAACUAUUCUAAAUGGGUUAAGCAGGAUGUGGGACAAAGUUAAGAGAAAGCUCAAUGAAAAUGAUGAAGAAAGAAAUAAAUGGGGAGCAGUUGGAGGAGCUGGCAUGUUAUUAGGAUUAGGAACAGUGGUAGGAUUAGCAUUUGGGGGAGGAGGAAUGCUGCUGAGAGUAGGUUUAGGAGCUGCAUCUGCCGUUGUCUCACAAGGUUUAUUUGGAGUUGGACUUAUGGGUGAUUCCGAAGCAAAUAAUAAGAGAGAUGACUUGCUUAGAAACGAGCAAGAAAAUAUUAAGAUUGUAGAAACGUUGAUUAAUGAAUUCAAGUUGACCAUUGAACCACAAAAGGAAGCUCUGGAGGAAAUUAAGGAACUGACACAAAUGGCAAAUGAACAUUCACCUUUAAUGCAGAUAAAGAUUGAACCACUGGUAGAAGUAGUUCUUUCACAAAUCAACUAUUUAACUGACCGUCUACAAGAAAUGAAUCAAGUGCCACAGAAUGAGAAACCCGAAGUCAUUUCUCAGGCCAUUGACUUCUGUGAGAAAAUUGAUUUUCAGCUAAAACAAAUAAAAACAAAUCUCAAAAACAAGUGAUUAGACUUGGGACUCUACCGUGCAUUAUCUGCCAUGCUAAAAAUGAAAAGGAAAAGAAAUAAGAAAAAAGAAUGAUUAUCUUUCAUUAAAAGUGGAGCUAAACAAUAAAAUUAAAUUAAAUGACUGCUAAUAAAAUAAAUGAUCAAACUAUUAAUCACAAAUCACUGAGUACAUUGUUUAGAACAGCUGUCAGUUUCUGGAAGAUCAUAAUGAAAAAAGAUGUCUUCAGUGUUGAAUAGGUCAUAAUGUCUGUUCAACACAGUGCUUUAUUAAACCUGUACAGUUUAAGUUUUGAAUAGUUCCAUAUAGCAGUGAAACCUGUCAAAAAGGGUCACAGGUCACCGGCCUGAUGUGGACAGUGUGGGAUGCAAAUAUAAAUCUUAAUGUUACUUGCUAUACCAUGUAUUUUAUUUGUUACAUGUAUUGGAAUGAUAUGUAAUAUGUUUGUUAAACUUUAUAUUUUUGUAUACUGUAUGGCUAAUGUCUUUGGCACAAGUUACAGUUUGCUUUUGUUGCUAUGCUACCUUUUUGUUUAGUACUCAUGGGAAUAACAACAGCAUUAGUUGUAUAAUUAGGAAAAAUAUAUGCAACGAAAUAUAAAUAACAUGACCUAACGUAUUUCUUUCCACUAAAAGUCAACAAUUCUUUUUACUGUGGCUCCAAUAAAAUUGUGCUUAAUAAUGAUGUUGUAUGAUAAUGUUGACACAGCCAAAUGCCGGCUAUGUCAAAAACACUCUUGUAAUCAUGUUUGAUGUUUUAUUGCAUUUCUGUUAAUAUCACUCUAAGCCGCCUGAUACAGGUUGGUUACUGAUUCACUCAAUUUGUCAAUGUUACCCUUUAUCUUCUAAGUGUAAUAAAAUAAAUACAUAUACAAUAAA